CCCGCGGCCCCUUGUCGGCGUGCGCCCCCGGACUCGUCUGGGCGUGAGCGCCGGUGCCAAACGAACCCCGGCGCGAUCCGCGCCAAGGAAAACAUAACUCGAGGGCGCCUCGUCCUCCCGCAGCCCCGUUCGCGGUGCGCGAGCGGUUGGGCGGUCGCUUCUUAGUGAAAACAAAAACGACUCUCGGCAACGGAUAUCUCGGCUCUCGCAUCGAUGAAGAACGCAGGGUGUGAUUGCAGAUCCGUGACCAUCGAGUCUUUGAACGCAAGUUGCGCCCGAAGCCAUUAGGCCGAGGGCACGUCUGCAUGGGCGUCACGCAUCGCGUCGCCCCCCCAAACAAAACAAAAGCAAACGAGCUAGUUUGAUUGAUUGGGGGAGCGGAUACUGGCCUCCCGUGCCUCGCAGCGCGGCUGGCUCAAAACGGAGUCCCCCGCGGAGGACGCACGACAAGUGGUGGUUGAUAACAAGGCCCUCGCGUCCCGUCGUGCGCAAGUCCUGCGCUGGAGUUGGCUCUCGUGACCCCUAAAAGCGCCUUCGUUUCGCGAUGGCGCUCCGACCGCGACCCCAUGUCAGGCGGGACUACCCGCUGAGUUUAAGCAUAUCAAA
rnacentral:rRNA from 1 species